rnacentral:lncRNA from 1 species
ACCUAUCAGAACCCAAUAGUUUUGGUGGAACAAAUUGAAGAUGGUAAAGAAAUACCAGGGCUUAAAAAAUCCUUGGUUAAAAUGCUUAAAGAUUACAGCUUGCAGGCUUCCGUAGAAGAGAGUUUUAAAAAGAUUUUGCUAUCUGAUUAUUUUAAUUUACACGAGAAAUUGGUAAAUUUGCAGCAGAGGGGUAUUCCUGUCACAGAUGAAGUGUUUUGUGGGGCAUGUCAUCGAAAAAUAAUUACUCGAGAUUUGUCAGGAAAUAAUAACGUAAUAGUUUUUAACUGUAAACAUGGUUUCCACGAACUUUGUAUACCGGACUCUGUGGACUUUACCAGUUGUACUAUUUGCUAUCCAACCAAAAUGAAAUAACAGCUAAUUGAAAAUGUUUUCAUUUUUAAUAUUAUGCUCAAAUUAGUUGCCUGCUGUUAAUGUACAUAUAACCAAAUGUAUUUAUAUUACUACUUGCGAUUAAUUAAUGUUUAACAACACUACAUGACAUGGGGCAGAAAGUUUAGAGGUCAUUGAAUUAAAAAAUUGUAAGAGAUUCUUUUUAUAUUUAAACAUUUAUAAUUUGUACCAUUGCCAGCUAAAGCAUCGCUAUACCUAGUUAUAUUCUAUAUAAAAGAGUUAUUGAUCACUA